CAAUCACGGGCUCACUCUUGCUUCACAGACUAUGUAUGGUCAGUUCAGAAAAUUGGAGGUUUUAGGAUCUUUGGAAGUUUUUUGAGGCAUCACCCUUCUUGUCCGCAGUUAAAAGGUUUGACGCAGUACAGUGCGGGGGAGGCGGUGUCCUCUGCAGCUAGGUCUACUUGCUGGCGACCUCACCAUCACCAACCCAUCUACAGCCUACUUGAAUGGAUAUGGUUCUUGAGAGG